rnacentral:rRNA from 1 species
AUUGAACGCUGGCGGCAGGCUUAACACAUGCAAGUCGAGCGAGCGGCGGACGGGUGAGUAAUGUCUGGGAAAAUGCCUGAUGGAGGGGGAUAACUACUGGAAACGGUAGCUAAUACCGCAUACCAUCAGAUGUGCCCAGAUGGGCUUAGCUAGUAGGUGGGGUAAUGGCUCACCUAGGCGACGAUCCCUAGCUGGUCUGAGAGGAUGACCAGACACACGGGAACGGAUACACUGUCCAGACUCCUACGGUAGGCAGCAGUGGGGAAUAUGGCACAAUGGGCGCAAGCCUGAUGCAGCCAGGCCGCGGAUGUGAAGUAGGCCUUCGGGUUUUAAAGCACUUUCAGCGAGGAGGCGUUACUCGCAGAAGAAGCACCGGCUAACUACGGGCCAGCAGCCGCGGUAAUAC